ACACACACACACACACAUAUAUAUAUUAUAUAUAUAUAUAUAUAUACACACACACUAGGAAAUCAAGGCACGCAAAGAAGUAGUAUAGAUGGGAGAUCUUUUUGCCGAAGUUGGUCUUUUCUGAACACUCCUAAUCGAUUAUUUCCAGCAUGUCAGCAGGUCUUACGGGUAAGUGCUGUGAGUUUUUUUUAUUCCUUACAAAUCAGCCUACGGUUCUCUCUACUGUAUGUAACUACCUGGUGCAGAAUCGCCCGAGGCCAAACAUUUUGAAAAUGUUGAUACGAAGCGCUAAAUGCUUGUAUUUCGCACCCACAGUUAGGGUUCUAUGCGGAAUAUGCGUUUUUGUUACGAAGUAUAGCUUUAAGUUAUAAACUAAUACAACCAGGAACUAUAAAAUCUACUUUUUAAUAUUAUUAUUUAAAUUUAUAUAUAUAUAUAUUCAUUGUAUUUUUCUAAGAUGGAUAAAGGGCAUCCUGAACGAAAUAUUUUUUUUAUAGGUAAUUGUAUUUUUAAUAAAAAGAAACGUUUCGGUUUCAUUCUGGAGCCUUUCUCAAUAAGCCAUGAUCCCAGGUACUUAUCCAGUGUGUAAUAAAUUUUUGCAAGAUCUCUAUUUGUCCCCAUUUUAAACAACCGAUUGAGCUAAUUUAUACAUCUUCCUUUAACCUGUACAUUCCUUCGGGGAAUAUAAAUAUACAUUUAGACCUCACCAAUCGUAUUAUUUUUGCUACGUGUUAAGACAAAUAUUCUUUGUUUAGUGCUCUAUCCUGUGGGUUUGAAAGGACAAGUUUGGCAGAAAAAAAGUUCCAAAACAAACAUGGAUUUUUUUUCUGGUUAACAAACCCUUAAGUUAUUAUCUAUAGACGCUUGUUCUUUUGUGGCGAGUCUAUUAAGAAGCAAGAUAAUAAAAUGGUAGGACCAAUGCGCUCCGCCCAACCCAGUGUGAAUACACAAACCUGUCUGUAGCCCAAUACACAUCCUUUGGAGAGGGACAUCAUUAGUUGUACUUUGUUUCCAUAUAUUGCUAAACUAAAGUUGUCCCAACAGAGGGGAUCCAUCUAGUGAUAUAAUACACAGAUGUUCAGGGAAUGUCAUCUAUAAUCCAAUAUUUAUACACACAAAAGUAUAAGCAAUCACACAUCCAGUUGAUUCUACUUUACGCCAAAACCCACCUAGCUGUCUACUAAAGCAAUCCUAUUUUAUAUUUUUAUAUUGAAUUUGAUUUUUUUUUUUUUGGAAUUUUUAAAUGCCUUUUAAAAAAAUAUUGAAUUGAAGUGCUAUAUUUAGUUACCUGACACAAAUCCAUUUGAAAGACUUGUUCGGAUAUAGGGAGCCAAAAAUGAGCUCAAACUACAAAAGGUCAGAGAUGUAGUUGUAGGUAGUGGAUGGGAGAGAAGGCAGCAAUGGUUUUUGGGCAGUAUAAUACCCUCACCCCUCAGCAGUAGGUCCCUGGAGUUUACACCUCGUUAGCUAAUGUACACCUAAAUGCAUAGGGCUUCUAUUUGUGUCUCUGGUACAUACCCCUUAAUUUCCUAGAUCUAAACAAACAAGUAUCUAUUAAGAGGUAAGUGAGUGUGUGAUUACUGAGGGGGUGGGUGUUGAGGAGCUGGGGGUGUAGGAUCAGUAACAAAAAAAAUUCCUUUGUGUUACAAGUGUGCCACAGCCAUCGUGCUAUCACCGAGGGAACGGCGGGAUACCUUUGUAUCUCAUUCCUAAAAUCCAGAAACAAGACACUGAGAGUAAAAAUCCCCAAUAGAUCAGACAAAUUGCCUGACAUCGGCGCAUCGUGUGGAAUAAGCUGAGAUCACCUAAACGAAUGUUGACAAAAGUUGUCUCUAUUUGGCAAAAAAAACGCAUUUAUUAAAGGGCGCAUGGGGUUUCUGGAGAAUCAACGGUUACAUAGCGCUACGGAGAAAGCAGCAUGGUUACACGGCACAGAAGGAAGAUUAUUCCCUGUAUAAUAGCAGAGCUGUUAAUGAUAUUCCGGAAUCCUCCCUGUUCCUUACAUAUCGCUAUUUAUAUGGGGAUUUGACCCUGGUUUUCACAGAUUUGUAGUAUCAGAACGAACGCAAAGGCACGGUGAUUAUGCCUACAUAAUAAAAGCGCUUAUUGUGGAAUAUAAAGAUUGGAAAUUGAAUUUGUGUACCAGAUUUUAAUAUUUGUGUGUAAUAAAUUAAUUGCACAGUA